rnacentral:rRNA from 1 species
GACGAACGCUGGCGGCGUGCUUAACACAUGCAAGUCGAACGGUAAGGCCCUUCGGGGUACACGAGUGGCGAACGGGUGAGUAACACGUGGGUGAUCUGCCCUGCACUUUGGGAUAAGCCUGGGAAACUGGGUCUAAUACCGAAUAGGAUCAUGGCCUUCAUGGGUUGUGGUGGAAAGCUUUUGCGGUGUGGGGUGGGCCCGCGGCCUAUCAGCUUGUUGGUGGGGUAAUGGCCUACCAAGGCGACGACGGGUAGCCGGCCUGAGAGGGUGUCCGGCCACACUGGGACUGUGAUACGGCCCAGAGUCUUACGGGAGGCAGCAGGGGGGAAUAUUGCACAAUAGGCGCAAGCCUGAUGCAGCGACGCCGCGGGGGGGAUGACGGCCUUCGGGUUGUAAACCUCUUUCGGUAGGGACGAAGCGUAAGUGACGGUACCUACAGAAGAAGCCCCGGCCAACUACGUGCCAGCCGCCGCAGUAA